UGUCUUCGGGGCAGGGUGCAAUUCCCGAUUGGCGGUAAAGUCCGCGAGCGUAAAGCGCAUGAUCCGGUGAGAUUCCGGGACCAACAGUAUAGUCUGGAUGAAAGAAGAU
rnacentral:ncRNA from 1 species